GGAUAUUCAAUAGGACGUGUGGUUCUAUUUUGUUGGUUUCUAGGACCGCCGUAAUGAUUAAUAGGGACAGUCGGGGGCAUCAGUAUUCAGUUGUCAGAGGUGAAAUUCUUGGAUCUACUGAAGACUAACUACUGCGAAAGCAUUUGCCAAGGAUGUUUUCAUUGAUAAGGAACGAAAGUUAGGGGAUCGAAGACGAUCAGAUACCGUCGUAGUCUUAACUAUAAACUAUGCCGACUAGGGAUCGGACGAUGUUAUUAUUUGACGCGUUCGGCACCUUUCGAGAAAUCAAAGUGCUUGGGCUCCAGGGGGAGUAUGGUCGCAAGGCUGAAACUUAAAGAAAUUGACGGAAGGGCACCACCAGGGGUGGAACCUGCGGCUUAAUUUGACUCAACACGGGGAAACUCACCAGGUCCAGACACAGUGAGGAUUGACAGAUUGAGAGCUCUUUCUUGAUUCUGUGGGUGGUGGUGCAUGGCCGUUCUUAGUUGGUGGAGUGAUUUGUCUGCUUAAUUGCGAUAACGAACGAGACCUUAACCUGCUAAAUAGCCCGUACUGCUCUGGCAGUUCGCCGGCUUCUUAGAGGGACUAUCGGCUCAAGCCGAUGGAAGUUUGAGGCAAUAACAGGUCUGUGAUGCCCUUAGAUGUCCUGGGCCGCACGCGCGUUACACUGACAGAGCCAGCGAGUACCUCCUUGGCCGGAAGGCCCGGGUAAUC
rnacentral:rRNA from 1 species